CUUCAGGGAAGCCCAUGCCCGCCCCAGAGAUGACACAUGGAAAAGACGGAUCAGACUCCGGCCAGGCCAGGAUACAGUCUCUGCAUAGAGGUUGUUUUUGUCUCCAGUGCCAUCGAAAACACAUCCUCUUAACUGAUUCAGCAGGGGAUCCGCAUAGUCACGCACGCUGGAGGUUGCCAAGGUGAACAGAACCCCAGCUUACAUUCUGCCAGGCCAGGGGGACGUGGAAGCCUGGAAGCCCACAGAGGAAACCUACUAUGCUAUUGGUGAAUUUUUUUUGGAUGCUGUUUACGUUUGAACUUUUCUCUGUUUUCCUGUUGAAACUUCCGUACCCUCUUCCUGUGUCCCUACGCAGGCUGGGACAAUGCAGUCCCAGCACUGCCGUAGGACAUGGGCAGGGCCCCACCUUCCUCCUUCCUGCAGGGAUAUCCUUUCCUAUAGAAGAGAUGUAUCCGCUGCCACCAGAAGCUGGGGACAUUUCCGCUCACCCCAAAUCGAAUGCGUCCUGCAUUGACACAAAUGACAUCUUUCAGAGCUGCAAGUGAAUCAAAUUUAAAUGAAGCUCCUUGGGACUGCAGCGGCUGUAAGCCAGCUCAGAGUCUCAGCUUUGCUCUGUCUUCUCACCCACCACUUGGUAAAGCACCUUUGGGGACUGUGGGCCUUGACGCACUCCAGUAAGUUCACGUUUCCCUGCUCUCCUGGACAUCUCCUCCUGCCUACUCCUUUUGAAGAUGCUGGGGCUCCUCUACGCCGAUGGCCUCCGGGAAAGGAUGUUACAGUGGAAAACAGGGUCAGGAAAAGACUCUUCCUGACUUUAGAGUUUCAAAGGCUUAGCCUGUUAGGGAAGUGGCAAAGUUUCACAGAAAGGACACGCAGUUUGGCAGAAAUGUCGUAAGAACAGAAGUCUUCACCAGCUGCACCCCCUGAGCUUCAAGAAUCAGGGGGAGCCCAAAGAGAAAAGAAAACUUGGUGGGGUCUGGAACACGAGGGUUAAGAUCUGCAGGGACUCAGCACCUCCCCUCCGGGCCACCUCUGAUGCACCCCCAGAGCCUGGAGUUCACUCAUUCCCAGGGGCUACACUAGUGACCUUGUCCUUUGACCUCUGAUGAGGACUUCCUCGGGCAGCUGUUGGUGUUUUCCUCGCUGACCACUUAGCAGGAGUAACAACAGUCUAUGUCCCCAAACAUGGCAAUGUCACAGUGGGACUAAUUAGCAUGUGGUCAGCAUGUUGGGCUGACCACAUGGGGAAGUCCCCACAGGGGCUGGAGGGUGGUAAUGCCAUGGCAGAAAAAUCCUUUGUGUCAGCAAUUGAAGGCUGAAUGGAAGCACUCAAGAUUUACCCCGAACAACAGAGUUUUAAGCCCCACGCCUAUCUCAAGCUCUCCUUGAUCACACAGCUCUGGCCUCUACAGGGAGUCCCAUUGCUUCUCCACGUUGAAGAACUCUGGACUAUUUCCCGCAGAUCUGGUCUUGUGGUCUAUAUGGGUUAUCCUGUCCUGUAUUCCAUUCCUAACCUCUGACUUCACCCUGAUCUUGGGUACUUGCCUGCUUUUCCAGAUUCCCAGGCCUCUCCUCAGUUCCCAGGCCAGGGCGGCUUUAGCAACCUUCAUGUCUUCUUUAUUGGAAUGCUGGCCAUGCACCCUCCUCAUGGACACAUCAGUCACACAUCUAGAGGUCCUCAACUCCCAAGAACUCUCAAAUGACCCCUCCCCAUCAUGCCCAAGAGGGAAUGGGCUACAGGUAAAAUGGAGUCCUCAGAGCUACACCAUGAGUACCAGAGGAGGAGGUUUUGCCUGGGAUAGGUCAGAAUACAGUAUAGGUUGAGUAUCCCUUAUCCAGAAUGUUUGGGAACAGAAGUGUUUUAGAUUUCAGAUGACUUUUCAUGUUUUGGAAUUUAAAAAAAAAAAGAUUUAUUUUUACAUUUAUUUGAAAGACAGAGUAAUGGAGAGGGGAGGGAAGGAGGGAGAGAGAGAGAAAAAGAGAGAGAAAUCUUCCAUCCACUGUUUCACCCCCAAAUGGCUGCAAUGACUGGGGCAAGGCCAGCCUGAAGCCAGGAGCCAGGAGCUUCAUUUGAGUCUCCCACAUGGAUGGCAGGAAGCCAAGUACUUGAGUUAUCUUCUACUGCUUUCCCAAAUGCAUUAGCAGGGAGCUAGAUGAGAAGUGGAGCAGCUGGGAUUCAAACCAGCACUCUGAUAUGGAAUGCUGGUGUUGCAAGCUGUGGCUUAACCUGCAGCAUCACUAUACUAGCCUUCUAUAUUUUGGAAUCUUUGAAUAUACCUAAUUAGAUAACUUGGGGAUGGGACCCAAGUCUAAACAUGAAAUCCAUUUUCAAUUUUUUAUACACUUUAUACAUAUAACUAAAGGGUAACUUUAUAUGGCAUUGUAAAUAAUUGUGUGCAACUUUGUGUGCAUUGAAACAUCAGAAAGUAAUGGUGGGGGACCAGCGCUGGCAUAGGGGAUAAAGCUGCCACCUGCAGUGCCAGCAUCCCAUAUAUUCGCUGGUUUGAGUCCCGGCUGCUCCACUUCUGAUCCAGCUCUCUGCUAUGGCCUGGGAAAGCAGUGGAAGAUGGCUGAAGUCCUUGGGCCCCUGCACCCACAUGGGAGACCUGGAGGAAACUCCUGGCUCUUGGAUCAGUGCAGCUCUAGCUUGCGACCAUUUGGGGAGUGAACCAGCAGAUGGAAGACUUUCUCUCUCUCUCUUUCUGCCUCUCCAUCUCUCUGUGUGUAACUUUGCUUUUCAAAUAAAUAAACAACUCCUUAAAAAAAAAAAAAAACAUGUUACCACCUGUGCACAGUCUGAGGUUGCUUACCAUCACCAUCACUCCUCACUCUGAACUGAUAUGCUUAUCAGUAGCAUAUAAAUACAUUUAUUACUUUAGAAAGAGUAUUUAUUUAUUUAUUGGAGAGACAGAGAGCUCCCAUUGGCUGCUUCACUUCUCAAAUGCCGACAAAAGCUGGGAUAGGGCCAGGACUGAAGCUGGGAGUCAGACACUUAAUCCAGGUCUCCCACGUGGGUGGCAGGGACCUAAUCUCUUGAGCCAUUACUGCUGCCUCCAAGGGUCUGCACUAGCAGGAAGCUGAAGUCAAGAGCCAGAGGCGGAGGCAGAAAUCGAACCCAGGCACUGCAUACAUUUUCUGACAUCUUAAGCACUAGGCCAAAUGCCUGUCCUUAGUGUUAUGCUUUGGCUGUGAACCAUCCCCUGUGGUCAGGUGUGGAGUUUUCCAAUGUAGAUUCAUGUCAGUACUCAAAAUGUUUCAGAUUUCAAAUUUUUGGAUUAGGGGUGCUCAUCCGAUAAUAGAAUCAAGUUGGGUCAAUGACUGACCAGGAUCACUUACCAACCACAUGGAGUCCCUUCUCCACUGUGUGACUGUGUAGUUAGAUCAUCCCAGGGACAAGCUGGCUCUUUUCUCCUUAGCGGAAGGGAAGUGAAGGGUGGCUCCAGGCCCAAAGGGAAGGCCUUUCCUGCAGUCUAGCAGGAAGUCCAGAGGGCCCAGAACAGGCCCGGUGGACAUGUGCUGAGAGCUCAGACCUGCAAACAGAGAAGAAAGGGAGCAGGGAAACCACAUGGGUCUCCAACAUGAAUAUUCACUGGUCACAUCUACAUCACAAAGACGAAAAUGAAAAAUGCCAAGUGGAAGUAUCACUUUUGGCUUAUAUCACAUACUUGGCGUCAUUAAUUUCCAUCUUUGCACUUUCCCCUUGCCCCUCUGUAUUGCAUAGAGGGGUUGUGAGGCUUAAUUAAUAUUUAUAGAGAGUCUUUAGCUCUCCCAUGAAAGCAGUGAUAAAAGUGCAAGAAAGGUCAUCAUCACAGAUCCUAGUUUGUUCAGAAAUUCUGUGCACAAGCACUAUUCGGAAAGGUGUAGGAUUGUCAGUGUUUCAAAGGUUGCUGCUGCCUGGGGAACAGAAAUGCACCAGGAAAGGAGAUUUUGCAUGGUGAAAUUAUAAACGUAUUCAGAGUUAAGAAAAGAAAGUAAAGAAGCAAACAUCAAGGGGUUAUGAGUGACACUGGACUCGUUGGCAGGAACAAAGCAGGCUCUCUACCAGGUGACAAUGUGACUGAUUUCUAUGUAAGGUUUUUCAAAUCAUGUCUAUUAAAGGGCUCUCAAACUUU